rnacentral:rRNA from 1 species
ACAAUAAGCAAAAUAAGGGCGUAUGGGGGAUGCCUAGGCUCUCAGAGGCGAAGAAGGACGUGAUAAGCUGCGAAAAGCUACGGGGAUUGGCACACACGAAUAGAUCCGUAGAUAUCCCAAUGGGGCAACCCAAUGCAUUGAAGAUGCAUUAUCCAAUAGGAGGCAAACCCGCUGAACUGAAACAUCUAAGUAGGCGGAGGAGAAGAAAACAAAAGUGAUUCCGUAAGUAGUGGCGAGCGAACGCGGAAUAGCCCAAACCGUUGUUGUUACGGCAAUAACGGGGUUGUAGGACCACAAUAUUUCUUAUAAACAGAAUUAGAAUAACCUGGAAAGGUUAACCAAAGAAGGUGAAAGUCCCGUAUAAGCAAAGAAUAUAAAGAAUAGUGGUAUCCUGAGUAGGGCGGGGCACGAGAAACCCUGUCUGAAUCUGGCGGGACCAUCCGCUAAGGCUAAAUACUCCUGAGAGACCGAUAGUGAACCAGUACCGUGAGGGAAAGGUGAAAAGAACCGUGAAUAACGGAGUGAAAAAGAACCUGAAACCAUACGCCUACAAGCGGUCGGAGCAGCACAAGCUGUGACGGCGUGCCUUUUGCAUAAUGAGCCUACGAGUUACCGUUACUGGCAAGGUUAAGUGAUUAAGUCACGGAUCCGUAGCGAAAGCGAGUCUGAAUAGGGCGCUAUAGUCAGUAGUGGUAGACGCGAAACCGUGUGAUCUACCCAUGGGCAGGAUGAAGCUGUGGUAACACACAGUGGAGGUCCGAACCGGUUGACGUUGAAAAGUCUUCGGAUGACCUGUGGGUAGGGGUGAAAGGCCAAUCAAACUCGGAAAUAGCUCGUACUCCCCGAAAUGCAUUUAGGUGCAGCGCUGUGGUUGAGUUAUAUAGAGGUAGAGCUACUGAUUGGAUGCGGGGGCUUCACCGCCUACCAAUUCCUGACAAACUCCGAAUGCUAUAUAAUAUACACAGCAGUGAGGGCUUGGGUGCUAAGGUCCAAGUCCGAGAGGGAAAGAACCCAGACCAUCAGCUAAGGUCCCCAAAUGUAUGCUAAGUUGAACAAACGCGGUUUGAUUGCAUCGACAGCUAGGAUGUUGGCUUGGAAGCAGCCAUUCAUUUAAAGAGUGCGUAACAGCUCACUAGUCGAGCGAUCGAGCAUGGAUAAUAAUCGGGCAUAAGCAUACUACCGAAGCUAUGGAUUUGUACACUGUACAAGUGGUAGGGGAGCAUUCUAACAUCGCCGAAGGUGUCUUGUGAGAGAUGCUGGAGAAGUUAGAAAAGAAAAUGUAGGCAUAAGUAACGAUAAGGGGUGCGAGAAACACCCCCGCCGCAAAACUAAGGUUUCCGCAGCUAUGCUAAUCAGCUGCGGGUUAGUCGGGUCCUAAGGCGAAUCCGAAAGGAACAGUCGAUGGCCAACGGGUUAAUAUUCCCGUACUACUUAUAAUUGUGAUGGAGCGACGCAGUGGUGAAAGUACCGCGAACUGACGGAAUAGUUCGUUAAAGCACCUAACUAUAGGCCCAGUAGGCAAAUCCGCUGGGACUGGUGAAAUGCGAUAGUACUCGGAGUCUUCGGACAAAGGGAUAGAGUACCUAAAGGCUGCCAAGAAAACCUUCUAAACAUAGAUUAUAAGUACCCGUACCGUAAACCGACACAGGUAGUUGAGGAGAGUAUCCUAAGGCGCUCGAGAGAUUCAUGGCUAAGGAAUUAGGCAAAAUAGACCUGUAACUUCGGGAGAAAGGUCGCCAGCGCAAGCUGGCCGCAGUGAAAAGGUCCAGGCGACUGUUUAUCAAAAACACAGGGCUCUGCAAAAUCGUAAGAUGACGUAUAGGGCCUGACACCUGCCCGGUGCUGGAAGGUUAAGAGGAGAUGUUAUGAGCAAUCAGAAGCAUUGAAUUGAAGCCCCAGUAAACGGCGGCCGUAACUAUAACGGUCCUAAGGUAGCGAAAUUCCUUGUCGGGUAAGUUCCGACCUGCACGAAUGGUGUAACGAUCUGGACACUGUCUCAGCCAUGAGCUCGGUGAAAUUGUAGUAUCGGUGAAGAUGCCGAUUACCCGCAGUGGGACGAAAAGACCCUGUGCACCUUUACUAUAGCUUAGUAUUGGUCUUGGAUAAGUGAUGUGUAGGAUAGGUGGGAGACUAUGAAAUGGCGUCGCCAGGCGUUGUGGAGUCAUUGUUGAAAU